rnacentral:rRNA from 1 species
UGGGGAAUAUUGCACAAUGGAGGGAACUCUGAUGCAGCGACGCCGCGUGAGUGAUGAAGGAAUUCGUUUCGUAAAACUCUGUUCUAUGGGAAGAAAAGGACUGUACCAUAGGAGAAAGCUCCGGCUAAAUACGUGCCAGCAGCCGCGGUAAUACGUAUGGAGCGAGCGUUGUCCGGAAUUAUUGGGCGUAAAGGGUGCGCAGGCGGCUUUACAAGUUGGAUGUGAAAUAUUGUGGCUCAACCACAAACGUGCAUCCAAAACUGCAAAGCUUGAGUUAAGGAGAGGUAAGUGGAAUUCCUGGUGUAGCGGUGGAAUGCGUAGAUAUAAGGAGGAAUACCGGUGGGGAAGGCGACUUACUGGACUUAAACUGACGCUCAGGAACGAAGGGGGGGGGAGAAAACAGG